CCUUCACCUAACAUCCAAACCAGAAUAUGUUUUAUAUCGUUUAGAUGAUCAGUUUUGAACAUCUCUGCUGGAUUUUCUCAGUCAGUUUUAUGAGGUAGAGUCUCCUGGAAUUCAGGCUUUCAGUUAACAGCUGUGCUGAACUCAUCAAGAGUUAAUUACUUGAAUUUCUUGUCUCUUAAUGUAAAGUUUGAGAGCAUCAGUUAAAGUAAAGUAGUGAAGAGGCAGAGUUACAGGUAUACAGUGAAUAGUGAAUAUUUGAGUAAUGUUCUAAUCCAGAUUAUGAAAAGCAAGAAAAAAUGUUAAAACGAUGGAACUGGCACUCAUCAGGACCGCCCCAGGAAAGGAGGAGCGAGAGUUUCCUCUGUUGUACAUGAUAAGUUAGUCAGAUAAGAGCACCUAAAAGCUUCUUCACAGAGUAUUUUUUGGUUUGUUUAACACUGUUUUUAAGUCACUACAUGAUUCCUUAUGUGUUCCUUCAUAAUCUGAUAGAUCACUUUACUAUUCUCUAUAUUUACUAUGUAGGAAAAACAUUUAACUGGUACUGUAUUGUUUUGUUCUUUAUAUAUUUGGGUGUAAAUCAUUUUUCCAUUUUUCUGCAUGUAGUCAGUCAGGAAAGAGCAUCAUGUUUUUGAUGUUUAGAGAACUGUAGAGUACUGUUUUCUACAGGAGCUACAGUGCUUAUGUACCUGAGAGUAAUCUGAGUAAUAGAAGACGAUGAUUAGCAUGGUGGUGGUGUAUGAGGUGAUUUUUCUUUUAUUUAAUCGACAUUGUCAAUUAUAUUGACUAAUCGUUGCAGCCUUAUUUUAGAGUAGGGGUGAAAUCCUCCAAAGAAUCGGGACAGUCCUUUAGUGUUAAAGCAGUGAAGUGCUAAAGUUCAGCAACCUAACUGCUGCUGAUUAACUAGCUAAUAUUAGGGCUUUAUUGUAUUAUUGUCUUCAGAAAGGGGGUAGGUGCUGCAGCGAUUAAUUAUAAUUAUUCUGCACUACUUUAUUUCUCUUUUGUGUCAGUCUGAAAUUAGCUUUUAUUUUAUUUCAAUUUGAUUUAAACACUUGUUAUGAAGAAAAAGACCAUUAAGCAUUAAAACUACGCAUUAAACUAUGGGAAUAUAGUGGUUAUCAUUAUUUUAACAAGAAAAAUACAAAUAUUUGUGUUUUGUUUUUCUUAUUUCUUUCGUUUUUAUUAGUGAUUCUCUUUGAGCCCUCUGUUUGGAGUGUUCCUCUAAAAAAAUCUCAGAGGGGUAAAGUUCAGUGGUAGAGCCAAGGGGUGAAAUAGGAUUGGGUCUUUAUCUACAAGGUGGAGCAGCUGGGUACCAGCACAACACACACAAACACCUCGUACACCACCACCAUGCUAAUCACUGCAAUUUGUUUGAAUAUCACUAAUCAAUAACAUUCAAUAAUACUCUUUAAAUUAUAGAUUACUUAUCAACAUCACCUAUUGAACUUUAGACACCAAACUGCGUAAUUCUUAGCAUACAGGAUAAAUAGUGUAUAUUUAAUUAUGGUAUAUAAAGGUACAGGUCUGAGGGAUGUGAGGCAGUAGUGUAAAUCAAUCAAACAUUCCCAAGCAUGUCAUGUGUAUCUUCUCUGGCCUGCAAGUUUUACGUGUGUAUAUAUAUCUGUGAUUGUAUGGCUCUAAAUAGUUGCAAAUGUUUAAUUUUUGAGUUGAAAUAAUUCUCUAAUACUUUAUUAUGAAGGGUUUAGUUCAUACUUAACUGUGACAGAAGUGCAAAACUCAUUUUAUUAUUAUUAUUAUUAUUAUUAUUAUUAUAAACUCAUUAGCUAAGCUCCCUCAUCUGCUGACUGUCUGCCAUAGACAGUAGGUAUAGAUCCCUCCCUCAGAAGAGGUCUGCUGGCUAGUCAUGCUGUGUACUGUUUCAGGUUCUCAACCAGGAUUAAUUGAUUAUUCAUUGAGUAUUUCUGCCAUGCUACUCAUAUUACUACAAAACUAUAGAAACAGCUGAACAUAGGACCGAAAUGGCCACAAGUCAUUUAAAUGUAAACUGUUAUAAGAUUUAGUGAAUAAAUAUGUAAUCUGUUGUUUUUGGGCA